rnacentral:rRNA from 1 species
UACAGAGGGUGCGAGCGUUGUCCGGAAUCACUGGGCGUAAAGGGCGCGUAGGUGGUGGCUUAAGCGUGCGGUGAAAGCUCGGGGCUCAACCCCGAGUCGGCCGUGCGAACUGGGCUCACUGGAGCAUAGUAGAGGCAGGUGGAAUUCCGGGUGUAGCGGUGGAAUGCGUAGAGAUCGGGAAGAACACCCGUGGCGAAGGCGGCCGGCUGGGCCGGAUCCGACGCUGGAGGCGCGAAAGCGUGGGGAGCAAACAGG